CCUACGGGGGGCAGCAGUGGGGAAUAUUGGACAAUGGGCGAAAGCCUGAUCCAGCCAUGCCGCGUGUGUGAAGAAGGCCUUCGGGUUGUAAAGCACUUUCAGUGGGGAAGAAAGCCUUGGGGCUAAUACCCUCGAGGAAGGACAUCACCCACAGAAGAAGCACCGGCUAACUCCGUGCCAGCAGCCGCGGUAAUACGGAGGGUGCGAGCGUUAAUCGGAAUUACUGGGCGUAAAGCGCGCGUAGGCGGUCUGAUAAGCCGGUUGUGAAAGCCCCAGGCUCAACCUGGGAACGGCAUCCGGAACUGUCAGGCUAGAGUGCAGGAGAGGAAGGUAGAAUUCCCGGUGUAGCGGUGAAAUGCGUAGAGAUCGGGAGGAAUACCAGUGGCGAAGGCGGCCUUCUGGACUGUCACUGACGCUGAGGUGCGAAAGCGUGGGUAGCAAACAGGAUUAGAUACCCUGGUAGUC
rnacentral:rRNA from 1 species